CGUAGGGUGCGAGCGUUAAUCGGAAUUACUGGGCGUAAAGCGUGCGCAGGCGGUUUUGUAAGACAGGCGUGAAAUCCCCGGGCUCAACCUGGGAACUGCGCUUGUGACUGCAAGGCGUAGAGUACGGCAGAGGGGGGUGGAAUUCCACGUGUAGCAGUGAAAUGCGUAGAGAUGUGGAGGAACACCAAUGGCGAAGGCAGCCCCCUGGGUCGAUACUGACGCUCAUGCACGAAAGCGUGGGUAGCAAACAGGAUUAGAUACCCCUGGUAGUCCACGCCCUAAACGAUGUCAACUAGGUGUUGGGUGGGUAAAACCAUUUAGUACCGGAGCUAACGCGUGAAGUUGACCGCCUGGGGAGUACGGCCGCAAGGUUA
rnacentral:rRNA from 1 species